GCAAGGCGGCUUGGGGCUGGCAUAAAGGAUGUGUCAGAAUCAAGCUGCUCACUAAUCAGCUUUGCUGGGGCAGAUACACGAUAGUCUAUGUGAAGAAAUUUAGAUAACAGUAAUACAGCAUCCUCUGGAAUGAUUUAUGUGUGAUUCUUGGCAAAUAUUGUAAAGGGGGAGAAUUACUACAAGGGCAGAAGUCGAUCUUGCAAUGGAUGUGGGUUGCUAAAGAGCUGCUUUUGAGAGAGAGGCAGAGAGAUGGGUAACUAUGGUUUCUACUCCUCGUCACAGAAUUUCAGAAGGCAUUGGAAUAUUGCAAAUCGAAGACUUGAAAUUAAAUACUUUCCACUCAGAUCAUAAAUAUAGGAGCUGAAAAGCAUGAAACAUUCUCGCAACUGACCGUUGAAUCGUUGGUAGUACGCAGUGGACAUGUCAUCACGGCUAAGAAUAAAGAAACUG